rnacentral:rRNA from 1 species
AGGGCACCACCAGGAGUGGAGCCUGCGGCUUAAUUUGACUCAACACGGGGAAACUCACCCGGCCCGGACACCGGAAGGAUUGACAGAUUGAUACCUCUUUCUUGAUUCGGUGGAUGGUGGUGCAUGGCCGUUCUUAGUUGGUGGAGCGAUCUGUCUGGUUAAUUCCGAUAACGAACGAGACUCUAGCCUAUUAAAUAGACGUCGGGUUCUCUGCACUCGACGGUCUUCUUAGAGGGACAAGGUGCUUUUAGCACCGCGAAACAGAGCAAUAACAGGUCUGUGAUGCCCUUAGAUGUCCGGGGCCGCACGCGCGCUACACUGAAGGAAGCAGCGUGUAACAACCUUGUUCUAACGAACUGGGUAACCCGUGGAACUUCCUUCAUGAUUGGGAUAGGGGUUUGCAAUUGUGCCCCUUGAACGAGGAAUUCCCAGUAAACACUAGUCAUCAGCUAGUGCUGAUUACGUCCCUGCCCUUUGUACACACCGCCCGUCGCUACUACCGAUUGAAUGGUUUAGUGA